CUCAAUUAUGUUUUCUAGACAAACAAGUGACCCUGUGAAACCUAUAUGGUACCUCGCUUAUGUAAUUCUCAGCGUGAAUUGAAUUUGUACCUGCAUAUUGGAACUGUUUUCUGUAAUUCUCACCUCACAUGGAGUACGUAUUUUUUUCAGUUACCAUUUUCAUUUCCUCCCCGCGAAUCAAAUUCAAAUGUCUGUAACUUUUCAUGUUGGAUGGUUUGAAUGAUACAGCUUUAAGGCGAAUUUGUACUAGAUAUUGUAGGUGACAGAUGAUUUGAUCUUUUGUUUUCUGCACUAGAGGAGGUGUCCAAUUAUCUUUUGGAUCUUAUUUCACUGGAUGGAUUUUACCUCAAGUAUAUGCACACCUCAUCUCCAUUACCAAUGUGAGCUUUCUGAAGGUAUUAAGGAUGAAAAGAACAAUAUUUGUUUCGAUUCCAUGGUGGACUUUGUAAUUGCCGAUAGCCAGCAACUAGGUGUUGAGACAAAUGAGAGCUACAGAGAAACUCUAGUUUUGCUCAAACAAGGUGAUAUCCGAACAUCUUCUACAUGUAUUAUUGAGAUUAGCGACGAUGAAGUUAUGGAGAUUUGUGACAGUGAGGAGGAUGGCAUGUAGCUGCAAUGGAGGUUAGGUCCUGCAAAAUGGCCAUCAAGGGAGACAGCUAAAAUCUGGUCAAUUCUGUCAAAGCAAAAGCAUCUUUUAUACUGGCAAGGCCAGUCUAUUUUUGGCAGAAGCAGUAGAAAUGCUUCAAUUAAAUGUAAACUCGUGUUGUAUUAGAUUCACUUUGCAUGUAAAACUGCAAUCAGGUGGCCUGGAUUACAGUAGCUCAACCUCUAGCUUUUUUGUUUGGCCUUGUGACAAGAUGUCAAAUACUCAGGUGUUUCCCCUUGCGUUG